AGUGAACGCUGGCGGUAGGCCUAACACAUGCAAGUCGAACGGCAGCACAGUAAGAGCUUGCUCUUACGGGUGGCGAGUGGCGGACGGGUGAGGAAUACAUAGGAAUCUACUUUUUCGUGGGGGAUAACGUAGGGAAACUUACGCUAAUACCGCAUACGACCUACGGGUGAAAGCAGUGGAUCUUCGGACCUUGCGCGAUUGAAUGAGCCGAUGUCGGAUUAGCUAGUUGGCGGGGUAAAGGCCCACCAAGGCGACGAUCCGUAGCUGGUCUGAGAGGAUGAUCAGCCACACUGGAACUGAGACACGGUCCAGACUCCUACGGGAGGCAGCAGUAGGGAAUAUUGGACAAUGGGCGCAAGCCUGAUCCAGCCAUACCGCGUGGGUGAAGAAGGCCUUCGGGUUGUAAAGCCCUUUUGUUGGGAAAGAAAAGCAGCAGGUUAAUACCCCGCUGUUCUGACGGUACCCAAAGAAUAAGCACCGGCUAACUUCGUG
rnacentral:rRNA from 1 species